GACGAACGCUGGCGGCGGGCUUAACACAUGCAAGUCGAACGGAAAGGCCCUGCUUUUGUGGGGUUCUCGAGUGGCGAACGGGUGAGUAACACGGGAAUAACCUGCCCUUGACUUUGGGAUAACUUCAGGAAACUGGGGCUAAUACCGGAUAGGAGCUCCUGAUGCAUGGUGGGGGUUGGAAAGUUUCGGCGGUUGGGGAUGGACUCGCGGCUUAUCAGCUUGUUGGUGGGGUAGUGGCUUACCAAGGCUUUGAAGGGUGGCCGGCCUGAGAGGGUGACCGGCCACCUUGGGACUGAGAUACGGCCCAGAGUCGUACGGGAGGCAGCAGUGGGGAAUAUUGCACAAUGGGCGGAAGCCUGAUGCAGCAACGCCGCGUGCGGGAUGACGGCCUUCGGGUUGUAAACCGCUUUCGCCUGUGACGAAGCGUGAGUGACGGUAAUGGGUAAAGAAGCACCGGCUAACUACGUG
rnacentral:rRNA from 1 species